UACGUAGGGCGCAAGCGUUGUCCGGAUUUAUUGGGCGUAAAGCGCGUGUAGGCGGCCAGAUAGGUCUGCUGUGAAAACUCGAGGCUCAACCUCGAGCUGUCGGCGGAAACCAUCUGGCUAGAGUCCGGAAGAGGAGAGUGGAAUUCCUGGUGUAGCGGUGAAAUGCGCAGAUAUCAGGAAGAACACCUAUGGCGAAGGCAGCUCUCUGGGACGGUACUGACGCUGAGACGCGAAAGCGUGGGGAGCGAACAGG
rnacentral:rRNA from 1 species